GACGAACGCUGGCGGCGUGCCUAAUACAUGCAAGUUGAGCGCUGAAGGUUGGUACUUGUACCGACUGGAUGAGCAGCGAACGGGUGAGUAACGCGUGGGGAAUCUGCCUUUGAGCGGGGGACAACAUUUGGAAACGAAUGCUAAUACCGCAUAAAAACUUUAAACACAAGUUUUAAGUUUGAAAGAUGCAAUUGCAUCACUCAAAGAUGAUCCCGCGUUGUAUUAGCUAGUUGGUGAGGUAAAGGCUCACCAAGGCGAUGAUACAUAGCCGACCUGAGAGGGUGAUCGGCCACAUUGGGGCUGAGACACGGCCCAAACUCCUACGGGAGGCAGCAGUAGGGAAUCUUCGGCAAUGGACGAAAGUCUGACCGAGCAACGCCGCGUGAGUGAAGAAGGUUUUCGGACCGUAAAACUCUGUUGGUAGAGAAGAACGUUGGUGAGAGUGGAAAGCUCAUCAAGUGACGGUAACUACCCAGAAAGGGACGGCUAACUACGUG
rnacentral:rRNA from 1 species